UACGUAGGCAGCGAGCGUUGUUCGGAGUUACUGGGCGUAAAGGGUGCGUAGGCGGUUGGUUAAGUUUGGUGUGAAAUCUCCCGGCUCAACUGGGAGGGUGCGCCGAAUACUGAAUGACUAGAGUGCGGGAGAGGAGAGUGGAAUUCCUGGUGUAGCGGUGAAAUGCGUAGAUAUCAGGAGGAACACCGGUGGUGUAGACGGCUCUCUGGACCGUAACUGACGCUGAGGCACGAAAGCGUGGGUAGCAAACAGG
rnacentral:rRNA from 1 species